rnacentral:rRNA from 1 species
UACGAAGGGGGCUAGCGUUGUUCGGAAUUACUGGGCGUAAAGCGUAUGCAGGCGGAUCAUUAAGUCGGGGGUGAAGUCCCGAGGCUCAACCUCGGAACUGCCUUCGAUACUGAUGAUCUUGAGUCCGGGAGAGGUGAGUGGAACUGCGAGUGUAGAGGUGAAAUUCGUAGAUAUUCGCAAGAACACCAGUGGCGAAGGCGGCUCACUGGCCCGGUACUGACGCUGAGACGCGAAAGCGUGGGGAGCGAACAGG